rnacentral:rRNA from 1 species
GAUGAACGCUGGCGGCGUGCCUAAUACAUGCAAGUCGAGCGAACGGACGAGAAGCUUGCCUCUCUGAUGUUAGCGGCGGACGGGUGAGUAACACGUGGAUAACCUACCUAUAAGACUGGGAUAACUUCGGGAAACCGGAGCUAAUACCGGAUGAUAUUUUGAACCGCAUGGUUGAAAAGUGAAAGACGGUCUUGCUGUGAGUUAUAGAUGGAUCCGCGCUGCAUUAGCUAGUUGGUAAGGUAACGGCUUACCAAGGCAACGAUGCAUAGCCGACCUGAGAGCGUGAUCGGCCACCCUGGAACUGUGACACGGUCCAGACUCCUACGGGAGGCAGCAGUGGGGAAUCUUCCGCAAUGGGCGAAAGCCUGACGGAGCAACGCCGCGUGAGUGAUGAAAGUCUUCAGAUCGUAAAGCUCUGUUAUUAGGGAAGAACAUAUGUGUAAGUAACUGUGCACAUCUUGACGGUACCUAAUCAGAAAGCCACGGCUAACUACGUG